AUUGAACGCUGGCGGCAUGCCUUACACAUGCAAGUCGAACGGCAGCACGGGAGCAAUCCUGGUGGCGAGUGGCGAACGGGUGAGUAAAGUAUCGGAACGUGCCCAGUCGUGGGGGAUAACGUAGCGAAAGUUACACUAAUACCGCAUACGAUCUAUGGAUGAAAGCGGGGGAUCGCAAGACCUCGCGCGAUUGGAGCGGCCGAUAUCAGAUUAGGUAGUUGGGGGGGUAAAGGCUCACCAAGCCGACGAUCUGUAGCUGGUCUGAGAGGACGGCCAGCGACACUGGGACUGAGACACGGCCCAGAAUCCUACGGGAGGCAGCAGUGGGGAAUUUUGGACAAUGGGCGAAAGCCUGAUCCAGCCAUGCCGCGUGCAGGAUGAAGGCCUUCGGGUUGUAAACUGCUUUUGUACGGAACGAAAAGGUUUGGCCUAAUAAGCUGAGCUCAUGACGGUACCGUAAGAAUAAGCACCGGCUAACUACGUGCCAGCCGCCGCCGUAA
rnacentral:rRNA from 1 species